CCCAGGUCAGGCGGGGCUACCCGCUGAAUUUAAGCAUAUCAAAAGCCGGAGGAA
rnacentral:rRNA from 1 species